UGUCAUACUGGUGAUGGAGUUCACCAAAACCGCCGUUCGGGCUGAUAACUCCUACAGGAUG
rnacentral:ncRNA from 20 species